UCGAGCGAAUGGAUUAAGAGCUUGCUCUUAUGAAGUUAGCGGCGGACGGGUGAGUAACACGUGGGUAACCUGCCCAUAAGACUGGGAUAACUCCGGGAAACCGGGGCUAAUACCGGAUAACAUUUUGAACUGCAUGGUUCGAAAUUGAAAGGCGGCUUCGGCUGUCACUUAUGGAUGGACCCGCGUCGCAUUAGCUAGUUGGUGAGGUAACGGCUCACCAAGGCAACGAUGCGUAGCCGACCUGAGAGGGUGAUCGGCCACACUGGGACUGAGACACGGCCCAGACUCCUACGGGAGGCAGCAGUAGGGAAUCUUCCGCAAUGGACGAAAGUCUGACGGAGCAACGCCGCGUGAGUGAUGAAGGCUUUCGGGUCGUAAAACUCUGUUGUUAGGGAAGAACAAGUGCUAGUUGAAUAAGCUGGCACCUUGACGGUACCUAACCAGAAAGCCACGGCUAACUACGUGCCAGCAGCCGCGGUAAUACGUAGGUGGCAAGCGUUAUCCGGAAUUAUUGGGCGUAAAGCGCGCGCAGGUGGUUUCUUAAGUCUGAUGUGAAAGCCCACGGCUCAACCGUGGAGGGUCAUUGGAAACUGGGAGACUUGAGUGCAGAAGAGGAAAGUGGAAUUCCAUGUGUAGCGGUGAAAUGCGUAGAGAUAUGGAGGAACACCAGUGGCGAAGGCGACUUUCUGGUCUGUAACUGACACUGAGGCGCGAAAGCGU
rnacentral:rRNA from 1 species